rnacentral:rRNA from 1 species
UGGGGAAUAUUGGACAAUGGGCGCAAGCCUGAUCCAGCCAUGCCGCGUGUGUGAAGAAGGCCUUUUGGUUGUAAAGCACUUUAAGCGAGGAGGAGGCUACUUGGAUUAAUACUCUAAGAUAGUGGACGUUACUCGCAGAAUAAGCACCGGCUAACUCUGUGCCAGCAGCCGCGGUAAUACAGAGGGUGCGAGCGUUAAUCGGAUUUACUGGGCGUAAAGCGUGCGUAGGCGGCUUCUUAAGUCGGAUGUGAAAUCCCUGAGCUUAACUUAGGAAUUGCAUUCGAUACUGGGAAGCUAGAGUAUGGGAGAGGAUGGUAGAAUUCCAGGUGUAGCGGUGAAAUGCGUAGAGAUCUGGAGGAAUACCGAUGGCGAAGGCAGCCAUCUGGCCUAGUACUGACGCUGAGGUACGAAAGCAUGGGGAGCAAACAGG